rnacentral:rRNA from 1 species
AUGAACGCUGGCGGCGUGUCUAAGACAUGCAAGUCGAACGGGGCCCUUCGGGGUUCAGUGGCGGACGGGUGAGUAACACGUGGGAAUCUGCUCAAUAGUGGGGGACAGCCCGGCGAAAGCCGGAUUAAUACCGCAUACGCCCUACGGGGGAAAGGCGCAAGCCGCUAUUGGAUGAGCCCGCGUAAGAUUAGCUAGUUGGUGAGGUAAAGGCCCACCAAGGCAACGAUCUUUAGCUGGUCUGAGAGGAUGGCCAGCCACAUCGGGACUGAGAAACGGCCCGGACUCCUACGGGAGGCAGCAGUCGGGAAAAUUGGACAAUGGGCGCAAGCCUGAUCCAGCAAUACCGCGUGUGUGAAGAAGGCCUGCGGGUUGUAAAGCACUUUCAGUGGGGAAGAUAAUGACGUUACCCACAGAGGAAGCACCGGCUAACUCCGU